rnacentral:rRNA from 1 species
UCCUACGGGAGGCAGCAGUGAGGAAUAUUGGUCAAUGGUCGAAAGACUGAACCAGCCAUGCCGCGUGCAGGAUGAAUGUUCUAUGAAUUGUAAACUGCUUUUCUACAGGAAGAAACCUACCCUCGUGAGGGUAUCUGACGGUACUGUAGGAAUAAGCAUCGGCUAACUCCGUGCCAGCAGCCGCGGUAAUACGGAGGAUGCAAGCGUUAUCCGGAUUUAUUGGGUUUAAAGGGUGCGUAGGCGGAAUAUUAAGUCAGUGGUGAAAUCCUUCGGCUCAACCGAAGAACUGCCAUUGAUACUGAUAUUCUUGAAUGUAGUUGAGGUAGGCGGAAUGUGUAAUGUAGCGGUGAAAUGCUUAGAUAUUACACAGAACACCGAUUGCGAAGGCAGCUUACUAAACUAUGAUUGACGCUAAUGCACGAAAGCGUGGGGAGCGAACAGGAUUAGAUACCCUGGUAGUCCACGCCUUAAACUAUGAUCACUCGUUGUUUGUGAUAUACCAUAAGCGACCAAGCGAAAGCAUUAAGUG